AGACCUGAAUUGAAUUGUUGUCUA
rnacentral:siRNA from 1 species